AGGCUUAACACAUGCAAGUCGAGGGGCAGCAUGGUCUUAGCUUGCUAAGGCCGAUGGCGACCGGCGCACGGGUGAGUAACACGUAUCCAACCUGCCGUCUACUCUUGGACAGCCUUCUGAAAGGAAGAUUAAUACAAGAUGGCAUCAUGAGUCCGCAUGUUCACAUGAUUAAAGGUAUUCCGGUAGACGAUGGGGAUGCGUUCCAUUAGAUAGUAGGCGGGGUAACGGCCCACCUAGUCUUCGAUGGAUAGGGGUUCUGAGAGGAAGGUCCCCCACAUUGGAACUGAGACACGGUCCAAACUCCUACGGGAGGCAGCAGUGAGGAAUAUUGGUCAAUGGGCGAGAGCCUGAACCAGCCAAGUAGCGUGAAGGAUGACUGCCCUAUGGGUUGUAAACUUCUUUUAUAAAGGAAUAAAGUCGGGUAUGCAUACCCGUUUGCAUGUACUUUAUGAAUAAGGAUCGGCUAACUCCGUGCCAGCAGCCGCGGUAAUACGGAGGAUCCGAGCGUUAUCCGGAUUUAUUGGGUUUAAAGGGAGCGUAGAUGGAUGUUUAAGUCAGUUGUGAAAGUUUGCGGCUCAACCGUAAAAUUGCAGUUGAUACUGGAUAUCUUGAGUGCAGUUGAGGCAGGCGGAAUUCGUGGUGUAGCGGUGAAAUGCUUAGAUAUCACGAAGAACUCCGAUUGCGAAGGCAGCCUGCUAAGCUGCAACUGACAUUGAGGCUCGAAAGUGUGGGUAUCAAACAGGAUUAGAUACCCUGGUAGUCCACACGGUAAACGAUGAAUACUCGCUGUUUGCGAUAUACGGCAAGCGGCCAAGCGAAAGCGUUAAGUAUUCCACCUGGGGAGUACGCCGGCAACGGUGAAACUCAAAGGAAUUGACGGGGGCCCGCACAAGCGGAGGAACAUGUGGUUUAAUUCGAUGAUACGCGAGGAACCUUACCCGGGCUUAAAUUGCAGAUGAAUUACGGUGAAAGCCGUAAGCCGCAAGGCAUCUGUGAAGGUGCUGCAUGGUUGUCGUCAGCUCGUGCCGUGAGGUGUCGGCUUAAGUGCCAUAACGAGCGCAACCCUUGUUGUCAGUUACUAACAGGUUCCGCUGAGGACUCUGACAAGACUGCCAUCGUAAGAUGUGAGGAAGGUGGGGAUGACGUCAAAUCAGCGCGGCCCUUACGUCCGGGGCUACACACGUGUUACAAUGGGGGGUACAGAGGGCCGCUACCACGCGAGUGGAUGCCAAUCCCCAAAACCUCUCUCAGUUCGGACUGGAGUCUGCAACCCGACUCCACGAAGCUGGAUUCGCUAGUAAUCGCGCAUCAGCCACGGCGCGGUGAAUACGUUCCCGGGCCUUGUACACACCGCCCGUCAAGCCAUGGAAGCUGGGAGUACCUGAAGUCCGUAACCGCGAGGAUCGGCCUAGGGUAAUACCGGUAACUGGGGCUAAG
rnacentral:rRNA from 1 species